AGACCCGAAACCCGGUGAUCUAGCCAUGGGCAGGUUGAAGGUUGGGUAACACUAACUGGAGGACCGAACCGACUAAUGUUGAAAAAUUAGCGGAUGACCUGUGGCUGGGGGUGAAAGGCCAAUCAAACCGGGAGAUAGCUGGUUCUCCCCGAAAGCUAUUUAGGUAGCGCCUCGUGAAUUCAUCUCCGGGGGUAGAGCACUGUUUCGGCUAGGGGGCCAUCCCGGCUUACCAACCCGAUGCAAACUGCGAAUACCGGAGAAUGUUAUCACGGGAGACACACGGCGGGUGCUAACGUCCGUCGUGAAGAGGGAAACAACCCAGACCGCCAGCUAAGGUCCCAAAGUCAUGGUUAAGUGGGAAACGAUGUGGGAAGGCCCAGACAGCCAGGAUGUUGGCUUAGAAGCAGCCAUCAUUUAAAGAAAGCGUAAUAGCUCACUGGUCGAGUCGGCCUGCGCGGAAGAUGUAACGGGGCUAAACCAUGCACCGAAGCUGCGGCAGCGAACGUAUCACCCAAGACAACUUUACGGAGUUGACGAUUGACGGAGCGAAGCGACGUCAAAGCGUUCAUUAAAGUCGAGUUGGCUUAGGGAUACGUUCGUUGGGUAGGGGAGCGUUCUGUAAGCCCGUGAAGGUGUGUCGUGAGGCAUGCUGGAGGUAUCAGAAGUGCGAAUGCUGACAUAAGUAACGAUAAAGCGGGUGAAAAGCCCGCUCGCCGGAAGACCAAGGGUUCCUGUCCAACGUUAAUCGGGGCAGGGUGAGUCGACCCCUAAGGCGAGGCCGAAAGGCGUAGUCGAUGGGAAACGGGUUAAUAUUCCCGUACUUGGUGUUACUGCGAAGGGGGGACGGAGAAGGCUAUGUUGGCCGGGCGACGGUUGUCCCGGUUUAAGCGUGUAGGUGUGUGUUCCAGGUAAAUCCGGUUCACUUUAACACUGAGGCGUGAUGACGAGGCACUACGGUGCUGAAGCAACAAAUGCCCUGCUUCCAGGAAAAGCCUCUAAGCAUCAGGUAACAUCA
rnacentral:rRNA from 1 species